rnacentral:rRNA from 1 species
GACGAACCGUGCGAACGUUGUUCGGAAUCACUGGGCUUAAAGGGCGCGUAGGCGGGCGGUUAAGUCAGGGGUGAAAUCCCGCAGCUCAACUGCGGAAGUGCCUUUGAUACUGGUGGUCUCGAGGGAGAUAGGGGCAUGCGGAACUUCCGGUGGAGCGGUGAAAUGCGUAGAUAUCGGAAGGAACGCCGAUGGCGAAAGCAGCGUGCUGGAUCUCUUCUGACGCUGAGGCGCGAAAGCUAGGGGAGCAAACGGG